CAGACUCUCUCUCACUCACUCGGCCUUCUCUCUCUCUCUCUCUCUCUCUCUCUCUCUCUCACUCAUGAAACUCACGAAACGAAACCCUACACUAUUUCUCUCCCGAUCUGAGACUAACCCUCACCUCAUCGGCCGCCGUCCCUUGGCUCUCUGUCUCUCUCUCGACUCAUCCCUUGGCUCUCUCUCACUCUUCACAUCUUUAAGUCUCUUAGAGUCGCGCGAGACUCAUUCUCUUUCUCCAAACCGAACCAAACAUCAUCCAAUUUUAUUGGUUUUUGGAGCAAAUCCUUGUAAAUUCUGGAGGGCUCUGGUUCAUUCUAAGUAGUUGUGCUUAGUCUCUGUGGGUUUGGAUUAAUAGGCAAAAUUGAAGUUUCAUCUUUCUUUUUCUUGAAAAUUAUGGUGUGAGGAAGCUGGAAGCAGUGUUCGCGGUUCUGAUUGCAACAAUGGCACUGUCAUUUGCAUGGAUGUUUGGGGAAGCUAAACCCAGUGGCACCGAACUUCUUAUUGCUUGUUUAUGGAACAAAUGAAGCUUGUUUGUAACCUAACCCUUCGUUUGAUUUCAUUCACAAAAGAUGGAGUUCUAUGAAUCAAUUGAAAUGGAAAUGGGGAGUAAAACAUCCAUGACAAAUUUGAAUAAGACUCUCCCUUCUUAGUGUGAUUAAGAUAUGUUGGAAGGUUGCUUUGUGAAGGCUUUUGGAAGAAUGGAUGCAGCAGAUUUUUUGCAAGGAUAUUAUCUCUGUGUAUUUUUGUGAUGGGUUGUAAUCUUUAAUGUCAUAAGUUUAAUUUGGUUUGUGUAUUAUUUUUUGUAAUGGUUUGUAAGAGAUUAUAUUUCCUUUCCUUGGUUGGUUGGUUGAAUUGAAUGUGUGUAUGUGAGAUUUAUUUAGUUUAGAAACUUAGAUUGGAAUGAUGGAUUUUUAUAGCUUGAAUUUACAUAAUUUCAGGUUUUGAAAGAG